UCCUUGCUUCGUUUUUUUCCCACUAGAAUUUUCCUUGGCUGGGUGCCUUUCGCCAGGGCCUUGGCCAAGAGGUUACACUCAGCAUGCCCUCUGCCGGGCUCCAUCCUCCCAACCCAGUGGGCAGUUGCAGAGAGCGAAAGAGGGGACCUGCCUCAGAUUAACACAUAGAGGCUGAGGGAGGUCUCAAGAUUAGGUCUUGUGCUUAAGGAUACAGAGAGGAACAAGACACAGCCCCAG